UUAUGGCUCAGGACGAACGCUGGCGGCGUGCCUAAUACAUGCAAGUCGAACGGUCUUUCUAUGGAAGCUUGCUUCCACUGAGAAGAUAGUGGCGAACGGGUGAGUAACACGUGGGUAACCUGCCCAUAAGAGGGGGGAUAACAUCCGGAAACGGGUGCUAAUACCGCAUAGUUUUCUUGAUUGCAUGAUUGAGAAAGGAAAGACGGCCUUUGUGCUGUCGCUUAUGGAUGGACCCGCGGCGUAUUAGUUAGUUGGUGAGGUAACGGCUCACCAAGACGAUGAUACGUAGCCGACCUGAGAGGGUGAUCGGCCACAUUGGGACUGAGACACGGCCCAAACUCCUACGGGAGGCAGCAGUAGGGAAUCUUCCGCAAUGGACGAAAGUCUGACGGAGCAACGCCGCGUGAGUGAAAGAAGGUUUUCGGAUCGUAAAACUCUGUUGUCAGAGAAGAACAAGUUGGAGAGUAACUGCUCCAGCCUUGACGGUAUCUGACCAGAAAGCCACGGCUAACUACGUGCCAGCCGCGGC
rnacentral:rRNA from 1 species